rnacentral:rRNA from 1 species
GUGCCAGCCGCCGCGGUAAAACCAGCACCUCAAGUGGUCAGGAUGAUUAUUGGGCCUAAAGCAUCCGUAGCCGGCUUUGUUAGUUUUCGGUUAAAUCUAUAUGCUCAACAUAUAGGCUGCCGGGAAUACUGCAAAGCUAGGGAGUGGGAGAGGUAGACGGUACUCCGUAGGAAGGGGUAAAAUCCUUUGAUCUAUGGAUGACCACCUGUGGCGAAGGCGGUCUACCAGAACACGUCCGACGGUGAGGGAUGAAAGCUGGGGGAGCAAACCGGAUUAGAUACCCGGGUAGUCCCAGCUGUAAACUAUGCAAACUCAGUGAUGCAUUGGCUUGUGGCCAGUGCAGUGCCGCAGGGAAGCCGUUAAGUUUGCCGCCUGGGAAGUACGUACGCAAGUAUGAAACUUAAAGGAAUUGGCGGGGGAGCACCACAAGGGGUGAAGCCUGCGGUUCAAUUGGAGUCAACGCCAGAAAUCUUACCCGGAGAGACAGCAGGAUGAAGGUCAAGCUGAAGACUUUACCAGACAAGCUGAGAAGUGGUGCAUGGCCGUCGCCAGCUCGUGCCGUGAGAUGUCCUGUUAAGUCAGGUAACGAGCGAGAUCCUUGCCUCUAGUUGCCACCAUUACUCUCAGGAGUAGUGGGGCGAAUUAGCGGGACUGCCGUAGUUAAUACGGAGGAAGGAGAGGGCCACGGCAGGUCAGUAUGCCCUGAAACUCUGGGGCCACACGCGGGCUGCAAUGGUAGUGACAAUGUGUUCCGAAUCCGAGAGGAGGAGGUAAUCCAAAAACGCUACCACAGUUAUGACUGAGGGCUGCAACUCGCCCUCACGAAUAUGGAAUCCCUAGUAACUGCGUGUCAUUAUCGCGCGGUGAAUACGUCCCUGCUCCUUGCACACACCGCCCGUC